UGGACAGACAAGUGGUGACGUUCUACAGCCUCCGUCUGAGUCUGAGUCCAGUGGUGGAGACCCUGCUGUUACUGGACAGACAAGUGUACUUAUACGAACAAGGUGUGUCAUCUCUACGUGCCAGUUUUUGACCCAAAGAUUUCACCGAGAAACUUUGUGUUGUUAACAAAGAAGUGACAUCGGAUAAAGAUAUGACAUAUCGCUAACAAAGAAGUGACAUCGGAUAAAGAUAUGACAUAUCGCUAACAAAGAAGUGACAUCGGAUAAAGAUAUGACAUAUCGCUAACAAAGAAGUGACAUCGGAUAAAGAUAUGACAUAUCGCUAACAAAGAAGUGACAUCAGAUAAAGAUAUGACAUAUCGCUAACAAAGAAGUGACAUCGGAUAAAGAUAUGACAUAUCGCUAACAAAGAAGUGACAUCGGAUAAAGAUAUGACAUAUCGCUAACAAAGAAGUGACAUCGGAUAAAGAUAUGACAUAUCGCUAACAAAGAAGUGACAUCGGAUAUAGAAAUGACUUUUUCUUCAACAAAAAGGCUCGUUACAAAGUGACAGGGCAAACAUUUUCUGUUUAUUAUAAGAAUUUAUUAUAUCAAGUUCAAGAUGUUUAAAUAAAUCAAUGUGAAUGAAAAUCUGCUAGAAUUUUGUUCUGUUUUAAGCAUGUUUAUUUUUUUUUUAAACAAUAGUUUACUGUGUCUUAAUUCUAUUA